ACUUAUAUAAUAUAAAUAAUAUAUUUAAAAUAAGAUAAUGAUGAAUAAUUCAAUAGUAAAACUUUUUAAAUUUACUGUUAGUAUUUUAUAUGUCAUGUAGGCACAUAUGACAUGUAGUGUGUAAGUCAAGACAGAUUUAUGGACUUGACUCUAUUCUUCACCAUGUGAUCCAGAUAUCAAAUUCAAGUCAUCAGGUUUGUGUGACAAGUGCAAUGCUAGAGGUCCUUAGAGGGUUGGGUUUUGUUUGUUUAUUGUAUAGGAUGUAGGUGGGUGUGGUGUAUGUGUGUAGUGGCAGUCAGAGGACAACUCUGGAGUCAGUUCUCUCCUUCUGACCUCUGCAGACCCUGGACUUUUUCAGCAAGUAUUUUUACCCAGUGAGCCAUCCUAGCCCAGACUUAAAGUUUUUGUCUGCAAAUAACUUUAUAAACAAACUAAAUCAUAACAUGAUAGGUCAUUGGUUCUGUGGUUUUGUUCAUUUUUAAUUUUUUAUUUUAUUUCAAAGAGAGGAAUGAGUUAAGUGCCUUUCUGGGAAAUAUUUUCUUAGACUAGAAUUAGAACUGGUAUCUUGGAGAGCUGACCUAGAGAUUGUAGCAAAUGGAGAACAGAAGUGAAAUAUUAGAGAGAGAAGAAGGUAUUGAAAUGAAAUAAAACUUUGUAGUUGGACAUGGUGACACACACACCUGUAAAACCGAGCAUUUAGAGGUUGAGGCAGGACUAAGACUUUCAGGCCAGGUUGGUAAGAAUUCACAAAUGACAUCUGAGUACUUGUAUGUAUGGUACUAUUGUCUUGACAGAUUGUGGGACAGAACACCCUAGAUCUUUGUGAAGCUUCUAUUUUUGUUGUUCUAGAGAGAGAGAAAGCAGUCAGUAAUUUCAAGUGCUUAAAAAGUACUGUUAUUUAUGGGUCUGGAGAAAUGGCUCAGUGGUUAAGAGCACCAACUGCUCUUCCAGAGGUUCUGAGUUAAAUUCCCAGUAACCACAUGGUGGCUCACAGCCAUAUGUAAUAGGAUCUGACGCCCUCUUCUGGUGUGUCUGAAGACACUACAGUGUACUCAUGUAAGUAAAAUAAAUGUGACUGGGUUAAAGAGAGUACUGCUUUAAAAGUAUAGACGGGAGUGGAAGGGAAGACUACAAAGGUGGCAUUUGUUUGAGACCUGGGUAUAGGUUAGGAACUUGCCAUCUGAGAAGAUGAAAA